rnacentral:tRNA from 3 species
GGAGAGGUGGCCGAGUGGUUUAAGGCGCACGCUUGGAAAGCGUGUAUACUGGCAACAGUAUCGAGGGUUCGAAUCCCUUCCUCUCCUCCA